rnacentral:lncRNA from 1 species
GCUUUUUUGUUAACAUUUUCUUGAAUGCUUAGCCAUGCAUAGCAAGUGCAGCAGAUCGCGAUGAUGAAGAUGAACAACAUUCGCAACCGGGGGUUCAGGGAGAGAGAGAGAGAUGUGUAAGAGGAUAAAUAGAUAGCAAUUACUCGGGGUAAUGAGUUUGAAUUGGGGGAAGAAAAAAGAUGAAGGCCAGAGUUAAAUAGGCCCGCCAGAGGUCCAUGAUUAGGCUCUGUUCGGUAAUGAUUAAAAGUUAAGUUUUUUUUUUAAAUUUAUCAUUAAAAAAGUUAAAAAAUUUUAAUUUUUUUUUCUGAUUUUUACUUUAACUAAAAAUAAAAGCAAAAGCAAAAAAGCUAUUUUUUUUUGACUUUUUUACAUAUAAAUUUAAAAAAAGUCAAUCAAAAAGCUGGUACCAAACAGUGCCUUAGUUUAACUUAGUUUAUAAGUUAUUAGUUUUGUUUUUUUAUGUCUCAAAAUUUGUGUUAUUUGAUAUAAUUUUUGCUUUAUAUUUAAGAAUCCAAAAAAAAAUACAAAAUUGAAAAAUAAUUUAUUCUUGAAAACUUCAUUAUAAAACUUUUCAACUUCUGUUACUACGUAUGAAAUUCUAACAUAAAUUUGACUAUACCAUACACUCAACUCUAUUUACUCACAACUAAUAAUUUAUUCAAAUCGUUUAUUUUAUAGAACUUUUAAAGUGAUCAUUCCCUAUUUUUUUAUCGAACAUAUUUCACAUUUAUUCUUAUAAUAAAAUCAUUACAUAUUUUCUCAAUUACCAAAUUAUCUCUCCUCAUACAUUUACAUGUUUACUUUAUCCUUAUUAUAGAAAAUUUAAUUUAAAUAUUUAUUUAAAAAUUACAUAAAAACAUAAAAAGAUAUAGCUCGUUUGAUGAAAAAUCAUCCUUUUACAUGUAUUUUGGCAGAAACUUCGCGUCGCUGAAACUUCGCGGAAAAAUGCUUCACGUGAUUUUGUCAGAGCGGUAGGGUUAUCAAUUAAAGGUGGAUGCAGGUCAUUGCGGAGCUGCAAUCCAACAGGGAUAUAAAAUGAUAUCGUUUUUAUCUCCAAAUAUAUUUAUCUCAAAACGGCGUUAAAAGAUUAAUAUAAUAUAAAAUUUUAAUUAAAUAAAAAGAAUGAGAGAAAAAAAAUGUGUGUUUAAGUUUUUUUUAGUAAAAAAUAAUUUAAUUGGUAAAAAAUAUGCAUAACUUUAGAUGUUUUUUAUCUAUUUGAUCAAAACCUAGGUGGGUUCACACAUUUAAGAAAAAUGAAGUGAUAGUUUUAAGAAGAAAAAAAAUAAUCUCAGAUGAAAUUCCGGCCGUUGAAUUCAAUCAAAUGAAUUUCAACCGUAGAUUGCGGGAGAUAAAUUUGAGAUUCAAAAUGAGUUUGUUAUCAAAACCUAUGUGGGCCCACAUUUUUAAGAAGAAGAAAGUGAUAGUUUUAGAUAGAAAAAUAAUAUCAGACGAAAUCUCAACUAUUGAAUUCAUUCAAAUGAAUUUCAACCUAAGAUAACGGGAGAUAAAUUUAAGAUUAAAAAUAAAUUUUUUUUUUUUAGUAUAGAUGAGAGAGAGAUUGAGUCUUUUGACUUAUCGUCAAUCCUUUUGUUACACACGCUUUCUAUCACGUCAGUUGGGAUGUAAUAAUUUUGGGGAAUUUCAAAACCAGAUUAAUCAUUGCAAUUAUCUUGAUAUAAAUUGAUAUUAAUUUAUUAUAAAUUAAUAUUUUAUUAAUAAAAUUUUAAUAAUAUUAAACUCUUUAACAAAAUUUUUAAUAUAAAUAAUUUAAAUUAUUAAAAUUAAUUCAAAAUAAAAUUUAAAAUACUGGUACUGCACUUCCAUAUUUUACGAUAGUCAAGUCCACAGAAUUUUGGUUUAGUAAACUAUCUACUCAUCAUAGUCAAUAACCCGACAAAUCACGGGCCUCUCAAAUAAUUAUGAGUUGCAAACAACAAGUGGGAUACGCUUUCAUGUGUCGGCUGCCUUGUUGCUCACUCCAUGCAGAGAAUUUGGAAUAAGCGAUAUGCUCAAAAGGUACAACAUUGCUUACUGCCUUCUAUAAGACUCGUUCGGCCUUAAUCAUGUGAUCGAAAUUGUUCAUUUUGUAAGAAUCAACAAAUACAUAACUCAAGUAAAAAUUCAAAUUGAUCGGACUUUCUAAGUCAUGUGAUUGAACAAUAUUUGUUUUAUAGUUUAUUUUUAAAUCAUAUUGACGUUCAUUGCAUCCAGGACAAAUAUGAUCAGAUCAACUAACUACAAAUGUUCGAUUAACUUAAUUAUUUUUUAAAUAUGAUCUAGUCAUUGAACGCUACAGUGUUUUGAAUUCUAAUAAUAUAAUUUGAUCGUAAAAAAGACCCAAAUGACAUAUUUUUUUAGCACAAGUUGCAGACGAGCUUUUUUGGGUCAAUUGGGUCUCCCCUACAGGUUUCUUAACAAGUUCGUGAGGUAGAUGGUGGGAGUGGGAACACAUAUGGUCGGUGUGACCGCGAGGAGACCCAAUUGACCAAACGAAGUUUCG